CCUACGGGGGGCAGCAGUGGGGAAUAGUGGGCAAUGGAGGAAACUCUGACCCAGCAACGCCGCGUGAAUGAUGAAGGUCUUCGGAUUGGAAAGUUCUUUUCUAAGGGAAGAAGAAAGGGACGGGACCGUAGGAAUAAGGCUCGGCUAACUACGUGCCAGCAGCCGCGGUAAUACGUAGGAGGCGAGCGUUAGCCGGAAUGACUGGGCGUAAAGGGUGCGUAGGUGGUUUGGCAAGUUAGUAGCGUAACUCCAAGGCUCAACCUUGGAACUACUACUCAAACUGUUGGACUUGAGUGCAGGAGGGGCAACCGGACUUCCUAGUGUAGCGGUGGAAUGCGUAGAUAUUAGGCGGAUCCCCAGUGGCGACGGCGGGUUGCUAGCCUGUACCUGACACUGAGGCACGACAGCGUGGGGAGCAAACAGGAUUAGAUACCCGUGUAGUC
rnacentral:rRNA from 1 species